UACGUAGGGUGCAAGCGUUAAUCGGAAUUACUGGGCGUAAAGCGUGCGCAGGCGGCUAUGCAAGACAGAUGUGAAAUCCCCGGGCUCAACCUGGGAACUGCAUUUGUGACUGCAUAGCUAGAGUACGGUAGAGGGGGGAUGGAAUUCCGCGUGUAGCAGUGAAAUGCGUAGAUAUGCGGAGGAACACCGAUGGCGAAGGCAAUCCCCUGGACCUGUACUG
rnacentral:rRNA from 1 species